GACGAACGCUGGCGGCGUGCCUAAUACAUGCAAGUUGAGCGCUGAAGGCUGGUACUUGUACCGACUGGAUGAGCAGCGAACGGGUGAGUAACGCGUGGGGAAUCUGCCUUUGAGCGGGGGACAACAUUUGGAAACGAAUGCUAAUACCGCAUAACAACUUUAAACACAAGUUUUAAGUUUGAAAGAUGCAAUUGCAUCACUCAAAGAUGAUCCCGGGUUGUAUUAGCUAGUUGGUGAGGUAAAGGCUCACCAAGGCGAUGAUGCAUAGCCGACCUGAGAGGGUGAUCGGCCACAUUGGGACUGAGACACGGCCCAAACUCCUACGGGAGGCAGCAGUAGGGAAUCUUCGGCAAUGGACGAAAGUCUGACCGAGCAACGCCGCGUGAGUGAAGAAGGUUUUCGGAUCGUAAAACUCUGUUGGUAGAGAAGAACGUUGGUGAGAGUGGAAAGCUCAUCAAGUGACGGUAACUACCCAGAAAGGGACGGCUAACUACGUGCCAGCCGCCGCGGUAA
rnacentral:rRNA from 1 species